UUAAAGUUAAUUUUAAAAGUUUUGAAAACUUUUUUUAGAUUAAGCAAUCUUUAACUUUUAA
rnacentral:tRNA from 1 species